rnacentral:lncRNA from 1 species
AUGCAAGCCCCAGCUGGUCAGAACUGCUCAGGCUCCAGUUAUCACAGUCUUGCAGUUCUAGAGCCAUGCCUGUCUAAUAGGCACAGAUUCUUCUGUGUCCUGGUCCCAUCUCGUCUGAUGACAGCAACAGAUGUGCCACGUGGAUCAGACAUGGGCUGCUCGUUGUGCAGGGAGGAGCAGGGAGACAAUGCCCAUCACCUGAAAUGCAGAGUGGGAGGGCUGCAGGGUGCUGAGCAUUUCCUAUCCCUUGCAUGUUUUCUCUUAGAUGUGAUGUCUGAUGUGAUCGAUUCAGCUCUUCCUCUACAGAUUAGUAUAAAGAAACACAAAAAUCUUCUCUGAGUACCUUGAUAACACCUCCUCAGCUGCUUCAUCAUUACCUAUUGUGAGGCAUUUCCAAAAAAAGAGCAUUUCACUGCGUGGGUCAGGAAUAAGUCCUGUGGUACGGACAAAAGGUGCUGAUGCUCCAUUACACAGACUUGUGCUAGCCGAGGAGCACGCCUGUCUGCACCUCAGGUGUCUUCCAGCAGCUCAGCACCUGCCCAGGUGAAAAAGAGCAAGAAUGAUGGGGCAGGCUCGCUCCCGCUGCCAUCACUCAGAGCAAAGUUCCCCGCUGUGGUGCUGAGAGCCUCAGAGAAAAAAAGCCCUCUCUGCUGAAGCUGUAAUUACGCAAAUCCCUCAGACGAGUUUGUGUCAAAACCAUUGGUCAAGAAACAGUAUUAAUGAGACCUAAUCCACACUUCGGAGGCACCAGAACAUAACACUGCGGCUCAGGGGGUUUAAGGCAGCAGAGUGCACGGCUCAGCAAGGCUUCCUUAAUUUUAUCCCUGCGAUUUGGAGGCUUGUAUCUGCGGAGAAAAAGAAGAGGGAAGAAAACAAAGAAAAAAAACUCAGCAGCUUUAUGAAUUUAACCCUUCCAGAUGUGGCUGGCACACUGAGCUGGCUGGGAGGUUACAAACUGCUGUGGCUGAGCCUAGCCAAAUGCAAGUGCUCUCUGGAAGUUGGUGCCUUUGCAAAGAAUUGUUGAACUAUCACUGAGGUGCUAAACAGGCUAACUGCAAACACAUCUAUUUGCUUCUCCCGGAGCAGGCAGACACCUGGAAACUGCACUGGCGAAGGACUAAAUAAAUUACCUGGGUUAUUUACUGCA